CUUUAGGGUCUAGAGCUGACAAUGAGAGUUGGGGGAAACAGUUCCUCUUCUGAGCUGGGGAUGGGGUAGAACAGGCUUCUGCAGAGGAGUCAGUCCAUUCUCUGCCUUCCACUCCCUGUGGGUCGUGGUUCAGGCCAGGCCUUCUCCUGCACUGCUGGCUCUGGGCAGAGGGGAUCAAGCGUUUCCUGGAGGACACCACGGAUGAUGGAGAACUGAGCAAGUUCGUGAAGGAUUUCUCAGGAAAUGAGAGCUGCCACCCACCAGAGGCUAAGACCCGGGCAUCCAGGCCCCAAGUCCCGGAGCCAAGGCCCCAGGCCCCGGACCUCUAUGAUGAUGACCUGGAGUUCAGACCCCCCUCGUGGCCCCAGUCCUCUGACAACCAGCAGUACUUCUGUGCCCCAGCCCCUCUCAGCCCAUCUGCCAGGCCCCGCAGCCCAUGGGGCAAGCUUGAUCCCUAUGAUUCCUCUGAGGCUGGGGCAAAGGCCUGAAAGGGAGAGAAGAUUGGCGCUGGGUGCCGGGGCCCCUUUGGCUCCUCACCCUGACGCAUUCUGCCUUCCUGUCUACUA
rnacentral:sRNA from 1 species